AAUAUGUUAUAGCUAGUUUGAUAGUAAUAAUGGUUAGAAACAAGACUCCAGUCUACUGACUUGAUAAUAAAAACACACAGAAAUUACUUUUUAGGCUCCAAAGUAACACUACUCCUCGGAUCAACAAGCUGGUAAUAGCACAUUUACUAUUAUACCCCUUAAUAUCUACUUUACCUUUUAAAAAAGCAUACCCUCCCUGGCAGAGAAUUCAUAUCUUUUUGUUUGUACUGUAGAGAACCUUUUUCCUUUGGGUAAGCUCAAUAUUCCGAAGUCUCAGUGGGUGCCAUCUUGUUUUUCAUAAAGGUAUGAUAACAAAUAGAUCACCAGUGAAUAAUUUGGAUAAUGUUAUCAUAUGACCCCUAAAACACCUUUUACUAAGGUACACAAAAUAUGCAACUCUUAUUUUGCAACAUAAUACAUGUGUGUCCAAUUCUCCUUGCUGAUAAGCUCAUAUAGUGAUAAUGAAUAUGACACUUAUGACUGCCAUUAUACCAUAUGCCUGCGCAUGUGUCUGUAGUGUGUUUGUAUCAAUUUGUUUUUCAGUUACUAUAGUGACUGGCUGCAAAAUUUGUACUGCCCUAUCACAAAGCGUUGCAAAUGUUGCAGCAACAAAUGUUUAUCUCUUAUAAUAUUCAACAUUGCUGUCGCCAGUUCCAGGUCAGUUCUGGGUAUUAAAAUAUUAAUUUGCUCUCUUGGUGCCCAAGUAGAGAUGGGACAGCAUCAGAAAGAAUACCUGGUCAACCUGGGAUGGCACCAGAAAAAAUGGCUUCCAAAGAAACUUCUAUAAAAUGCAGUUCUCAUCCUGAAUAAUACAACACACAUUUAGCAAGAGAGAUGAUGCAUGUUUUCUUUAUUUCUCAUUUGACUAAGAAGUAUUGCAGGCCCAGACUAGACUAAGAGAUCUGUACUUAGACAUAACAGAACUGCGUAUACUAGUCAGAGGUAGAAUCAGGACCAGUGGUUCAGAGCAAGGCAAGAGUCUCUAUUCAUAAAUGUUGGAUGGAGCAUAUAUAAAGGAAACUAUUUUUCAUAAUAUUUAAAUAUAUGUCAUGUACUAAAAUAUAUAUAAACAUAUCAAAAACUAUUAAACUGUUACAAAAUUAAAAUAUAUUUUCAAAAUAUU